UACGGAGGGUGCAAGCAUUGAUCGGAAUUACUGGGCGUAAAGGGCGCGCAGGCGGUGGGGAAAGUCAGAUGUGAAAUUCCGGAGCUCAACUCCGGAGCUGCAUUUGAAACUUCCCUGCUAGAGUGCAGUUAGGGAAAACGGAAUUCCACGUGUAGCGGUGAAAUGCGUAGAUAUGUGGAAGAACACCGGUGGCGAAGGCAGCCCCCUGGGUUAGCACUGACGCUCAUACACGAAAGCGUGGGGAGCAAACAGG
rnacentral:rRNA from 1 species